CAACUUCAUCACAAAUCAUCUGC
rnacentral:piRNA from 1 species